UACGGAGGGUGCAAGCGUUAUCCGGAUUCACUGGGUUUAAAGGGUGCGUAGGUGGGUAAGUAAGUCAGUGGUGAAAUCUCCGGGCUUAACCCGGAAACUGCCAUUGAUACUAUUUGUCUUGAAUACUGCGGAGGUCAGCGGAAUAUGUCAUGUAGCGGUGAAAUGCUUAGAUAUGACAUAGAACACCAAUUGCGAAGGCAGCUGGCUACACAAAUAUUGACACUGAGGCACGAAAGCGUGGGGAUCAAACAGG
rnacentral:rRNA from 1 species